rnacentral:miRNA from 1 species
UUACAUAUAUACGAAGAGUAACCCCCGGAAAUAAAACCCUAGGGAGCCACCUUAAGGUGGCUCCCUAGGGUUUUAUUUCCGGGGGUUACGUUCUUCGUAUAUAUG